AUAGUCGACGAUAUUUUAUUAGCCGUAAGACAUACACGUGCUGGAAGGAAAACAUAAAGAAAUACAUUACCUCAUUUCACAGGAUCACAUUGCUGUUUGGCUUCUCGUCCAGAAGAUGUAAGAAUAUUGAUUGGGACUUGCAAUCGUCGCGUUGAAUUGAUUGAUGUUGAACCCGGAAAAUAUUGGCAUGUGUCUAUUAUGGGAAGGGUAAGCCGAAAGAUCCGAACAAUUUCUUUAAAAUGUUCACAAAUGAAGUCCAAGAGGUUUUCGCCAGCGGUGGUAUCCACUUCAAGAAUCAUUUAGUAAAAAUAAAGUUCAGAUGCUUCAUAGCUGAUGCUCUGGAUUGAUUCCUUGGAAGUAUUCCAAGAGUUUCAAGAAGAUCCUGAAAGACAACGAUUUCUAAGACACUAUCUUAUUAACGUUGGUGGUGUCACAGCUAGAGAUGCUCUCAACCAAUUUCUGAAGGAAGCCAUGACGGAUAGCCUGACACAAAAAUUCUCUUGGACUGGAAAGUCUGUUUCAGAUAAAGAGAAUCUCCGACAGUUAUUUAAUACCUGUAUCGGAAAGGUAUUUUUUGAUCCCUUACGUGAGUGUCGAACAAUACCACAGCCACAUGAUUGUACAGAAUUUGCGAGACUGAUGCAAGAGGCAAUUCGGGGCGCACAAAAAAGAUUGCGGGAUGCAAAAUGACGGGCCAAUCGAUCUGUCCAUGUGGAGGGUCGCAGACAAAAAUGUAUGACUGAAAUGGCUCAUCGUUACAAGGUUGAACACCCAGGACAAUGACACUGCGGUAUAAGAGACCCACAAUUUGCCUAUUAAAGAUCCUACGCGUAUUCAAACAUACGUACCUACGUACUUUGUUUGACUAAGAAAUAUUUUAGUACACAUAGCUGUGAUGUUAGUUUUUAUGUUUAUGCUGAAGCAUAGUAUUUAUAAUUGGUACUGCAGCUGUGAUAUCCACAAGUGAUAUGUAACUAUAUGUUUUCCAAUGAAACAUUAUACCUAUAUCAACAAAUGUGGCGGGUUUGUACUAACAUAGCUAUAAAAUAGCUGACAUUUAGAUACUGUAGACGCUUUUGGUAUCUGGUAUAAAUUUUAGUCUUCUAACAUUUAUAUAAAGUAUUAAUUUUUAUUUUUUAAUUUCA
rnacentral:lncRNA from 1 species